rnacentral:tRNA from 1 species
GCUGGUGUUACCUGAGCGGUCGAAAGGUCCUGAUUUGUAAUCAGGUGACGAAAGUCCACGUAGGUUCGAAUCCUACCAUCAGCC